rnacentral:rRNA from 1 species
UGGCUCAGAUUGAACGCUGGCGGCAGGCCUAACACAUGCAAGUCGAACGGUAACAGGAAGCAGCUUGCUGCUUUGCUGACGAGUGGCGGACGGGUGAGUAAUGUCUGGGAAACUGCCUGAUGGAGGGGGAUAACUACUGGAAACGGUAGCUAAUACCGCAUAACGUCGCAAGACCAAAGAGGGGGACCUUAGGGCCUCUUGCCAUCGGAUGUGCCCAGAUGGGAUUAGCUAGUAGGUGGGGUAACGGCUCACCUAGGCGACGAUCCCUAGCUGGUCUGAGAGGAUGACCAGCCACACUGGAACUGAGACACGGUCCAGACUCCUACGGGAGGCAGCAGUGGGGAAUAUUGCACAAUGGGCGCAAGCCUGAUGCAGCCAUGCCGCGUGUAUGAAGAAGGCCUUCGGGUUGUAAAGUACUUUCAGCGGGGAGGAAGGGAGUAAAGUUAAUACCUUUGCUCAUUGACGUUACCCGCAGAAGAAGCACCGGCUAACUCCGUGCCAGCAGCCGCGGUAAUACGGAGGGUGCAAGCGUUAAUCGGAAUUACUGGGCGUAAAGCGCACGCAGGCGGUUUGUUAAGUCAGAUGUGAAAUCCCCGGGCUCAACCUGGGAACUGCAUCUGAUACUGGCAAGCUUGAGUCUCGUAGAGGGGGGUAGAAUUCCAGGUGUAGCGGUGAAAUGCGUAGAGAUCUGGAGGAAUACCGGUGGCGAAGGCGGCCCCCUGGGCGAAGACUGACGCUCAGGUGCGAAAGCGUGGGGAGCAAACAGGAUUAGAUACCCUGGUAGUCCACGCCGUAAACGAUGUCGACUUGGAGGUUGUGCCCUUGAGGCGUGGCUUCCGGAGCUAACGCGUUAAGUCGACCGCCUGGGGAGUACGGCCGCAAGGUUAAAACUCAAAUGAAUUGACGGGGGCCCGCACAAGCGGUGGAGCAUGUGGUUUAAUUCGAUGCAACGCGAAGAACCUUACCUGGUCUUGACAUCCACGGAAGUUUUCAGAGAUGAGAAUGUGCCUUCGGGAACCGUGAGACAGGUGCUGCAUGGCUGUCGUCAGCUCGUGUUGUGAAAUGUUGGGUUAAGUCCCGCAACGAGCGCAACCCUUAUCCUUUGUUGCCAGCGGUCCGGCCGGGAACUCAAAGGAGACUGCCAGUGAUAAACUGGAGGAAGGUGGGGAUGACGUCAAGUCAUCAUGGCCCUUACGACCAGGGCUACACACGUGCUACAAUGGCGCAUACAAAGAGAAGCGACCUCGCGAGAGCAAGCGGACCUCAUAAAGUGCGUCGUAGUCCGGAUUGGAGUCUGCAACUCGACCAUGAAGUCGGAAUCGCUAGUAAUCGUGGAUCAGAAUGCCACGGUGAAUACGUUCCCGGGCCUUGUACACACCGCCCGUCACACCAUGGGAGUGGGUUGCAAAAGAAGUAGGUAGCUUAACCUUCGGGAGGGCGCUUACCACUUUGUGAUUCAUGACUGGGGUGAAGUCGUAACAAGG